CAGAGACACACUCGGACUCUAACCCCUCCAUGUUCCUGUCAGAUCACUCUUCUUACCUGUUGUUAGCUGUAGCGCUAAUCCGGCGCUCGUGAGCGUUAGCAUCGUGCCGCCUUCCCGACAGGUGAGUGUUUGUUGUUAGCACGAGGACUUCCUGUUUCCUUUAAAGGUGCUGAACUUUAAUGUUUAAUGUUUUCAUGCGCGAAUGUUUCCUAAUAUAACAGGACUUGAAAUAAGAACAGCAGCUAACGUCACAGCGGGGUGACGCAGCUCAAGGAAGAACAUUUAUGAUAAUUUCUUUAUCAUUUGAAGUAAUAAUCACCAUAUUAAUCAUUUUACAGACGCGGUAGUUCUUCUGUCUCAUUGUCUCAGUCUGAUCAUAAAUGUUCUUCCUCGAGCUGUGUCACCCCGCUGUGACGUUAGCUGCUGUUCUGAUGCGUUUUGUUUGAGGUUUGAAGAGACAAGUUUUCAUUUUCAUUCAGUUAAUAUUUAAAACUUUUAAUACAAAGAAGUAAAAAUCUCAAACAUGUGACUGAAAAGGAGCAGAAAGAAGAAAACUCUCAGAGUCUGAACCUCUUUAUUUUCAUCAACUAAACACAGAAUAAUGAAAAUAAACGACAUGUUUUUUUAUUAUUUCUGAUUAUUAAACAGAAAAGAUUCACGUUAAUUCACAGUCUCCCAUGAAACAAACAGACACAGACUUAGAUGAACAUGUUUCCCUGUUUUUUCUCCACAUACUGACUUUUUUGACUCUGUUUAAAGAUCAACUUUGAUUUCUCUUCUUUAGUUUCUUUGUUCAGAUUGUUCCAGUCUUCUUCCUCUCUCUGUAACUCAGCGCUCCGUCACUUUAGUUCUGAAUCUUUUUAAAUAUUUCAAAUCCUUUUAAAAAGGAUUUUUUGUUUUAUUGAACUCCUCUCUGCUGGAGAAGUGAAGGAACCACAGAGGGACCUGAAGGCCGUCAGGAGGUCAGAAACACUGAACAUGAGCGGGAAACGAAGGAGCUGAAACUUCUGAACACAGACGGUGAAAAAGUGACUCUCACAGCGGAGGAGGAGGAGGAUUGAUGACUGAUCAGCUGUUCGAGUGUUUCAGGUGGUUUUAAUAAUAUUGAGACUUUCACAGAGUUCUGGUUCUGGAUCGCUCAGACGGAGGAGGUGGAGGUGUCUCCACCGUUUCUCGAAGGCAGCCCAAUGUUUGCGUGGAGAAGCGACUCCUAAACUAAUUAUAACCCGGAUGGAGUAUUUUUGAGGAGAAAGACUCGAUCUGAGCUCCGUCCUCCUGGCCGCUGCACCUCCCUUUUAAUUGGCUGUCAAAAAUAACCCGGGCUCAUCCUCGGAGCGGGGAACCCAGGGGAUGGAGCCGCCACGUGCACGUGGUGAAGGGCUCUGCGUGGGCCUCUGAGCGGCCGUGCGACCUCUGCUUCACUGCAGUACUCUCUCUCUCUCUCCUGGUGUGGGCUGCUUCUCCAUCUUUAUGUAAAACCUAUGUGGGAGGGGAGCACAGAGGAG